rnacentral:rRNA from 1 species
AGAGUUUGAUCAUGGCUCAGGAUGAACGCUAGCUGGAGGCUUAAUACAUGCAAGUCGAGCGGGAUUGGGUAGCAAUACCCAUGAGAGCGGCGCACGGGUGAGUAACGCGUACACGACCUACCUUUGACUGGGGGAUAGCCCUGGGAAACUGGGAUUAAUACCGCAUAUAAUUCUGAUUAAUAAAGGAUUGGAAUGAAAGUUCAGGCGGUCAGAGAUGGGUGUGCGUCUGAUUAGCUAGUUGGUGAGGUAACGGCUCACCAAGGCGAUGAUCAGUAGGGGGCGUGAGAGCGUGGUCCCCCACACGGGUACUGAGACACGGACCCGACUCCUACGGGAGGCAGCAGUAAGGAAUAUUGGUCAAUGGGCGAAAGCCUGAACCAGCCAUCCAGCGUGCAGGAAGAAGGCCCUAUGGGUUGUAAACUGCUUUUGUCAGGGAAUAAACCUGUGGAUUUAUCCGCAGCUGAAGGUACCUGAAGAAUAAGCACCGGCUAACUCCGUGCCAGCAGCCGCGGUAAUACGGAGGGUGCGAGCGUUAUCCGGAAUUACUGGGUUUAAAGGGUGCGUAGGCGGCCAUGUAAGUCAGGAGUGAAAGUUUGCGGCUCAACCGUAAAAUUGCUUUUGAUACUGCAUGGCUGGAAUCAGGAUGAGGUCAGCGGAAUGUGGCAUGUAGCGGUGAAAUGCAUAGAUAUGCCAUAGAACACCAAUUGCGAAGGCAGCUGGCUAGACCUGUAUUGACGCUGAGGCACGAAAGCGUGGGGAGCGAACAGGAUUAGAUACCCUGGGUAGUCCACGCCCUAAACGAUGCUUACUCGACGUAUGAAGCUUGUCUUUGUGCGUCCNAAGGAAAACCGUUAAGUAAGCCACCU